UCUUAUCAAGAGAGACGGAGGGAUUGGCCCUAUGAUGUCUCAGCAACCAGCCUUUUAGGUGUGGUGCUAAAUCCAAUAGACAUUAAGUCUUGAAGAUAAGA
rnacentral:ncRNA from 1 species